rnacentral:rRNA from 1 species
ACCUGCACUUCGGGAUAAGCUUGGGAAACUGGGUCUAAUACCGGAUAGGAGCCAUCUUUAGUGUGGUGGUUGGAAAGUUUUUUCGGUGUAGGAUGAGCUCGCGGCCUAUCAGCUUGUUGGUGGGGUAAUGGCCUACCAAGGCGGCGACGGGUAGCCGGCCUGAGAGGGUGUACGGUCACAUUGGGACUGAGAUACGGCCCAG